AUUGGCGUUGACUAUUCGUCCCUCCAUCGAUUCAUCCAAACGUACAUAAUAUUCAGCGGUUAUUUUUAUGAAAUCAUGCAGUAUUAUUGAAAAGGCAUUGUUUCGAAAACAUUUCUCCACCGAACACUGAGCAGGGAAAAUCGCACAUCGUCGGAAAUCAAGUGAAAAUUUAUAAAUAAACCGUUUUUUCGAAUAAGCUAUUUUAAAAAAAGCCAACACAGUCGCGCGCUCACGAUCCGCCGCGCCAACACACAGCGUACCGCCAGUCGAUCGAACGCGUCGUGCCGCGCUGCCUUGCAAUGCUACGACUGUUGCCACAGCGUGUUGCCUGACUGUUGCCUGUGUUCACUGUUUGGUGCUUGUGCUGUUGUGACCGAUCCUCAACUGGCGCUGAUCCUCCUACAGCUGCGGGAGCUGUUGCUGCCAGCUCUACAAAGUCCGUUUCUGCAGUUAUUGCUGCUGCUGCUGCUGCUUCUUCUUCUUCGGCAUCUUUUAAUUCUGCCUCUUCGUCUUCUAUUUAUUGCCGUGCUAUACUCGUAUUUAUUGUUGCCAGCAAACAGCUAGCAACAACAACAAUAAAGCGAUGUCCGUUUGUUGUGAUCGCUUAGCAGCCAUUUCGUUUUUAAUUUUAGAGACGAAACCACAGCAUGUCUAUUUUCUUCUAAUUAUAUCGCUUGCGGUGAGGAGAAAUGGCCAAUGUAUACAAAAAUUAUGAACCAGAAAGUUUUUGUAAAAAUAUACGCUCUUCGCUUGCAGUAUUAAAUGAGGCAUACAGCUGAAAGGAAACGGAAGCGCGUGCAAUGAAGGUUUUAUUGAAGAAGUGUUGGUUCAAGACUCGAUUCUCAGCUAGUCACAAGCUCGAGAGAGAAAUUCCUACAAACGAAUUCGCGUUGAACAAAAGUUUCGUAUACAGUUAUUUUACUCAAGUGAACGAAGACCACACGAUUACUUCCGAUCCUUACCGACAGAUAGCAUUAUUUAUAUAGACCUUGAACUCAAAAUGGCUAUAGAAAGCUCCGAUUAUUGCACAAGUAUUGAAAUGCAGUUUUCAUCAUUUCAUUGGGAGUGUUUUCACGUGGCGGGUUCCAAACCCAACGCACAACCCAGGGGAGGGAUGUUUCGCCCUCUCGCUGUAGCUCGCCUUCAAAUAGAUGCUUUUCGGCUAACCAGAGGAUCUGGGUCUAAGACCAAA
rnacentral:lncRNA from 1 species